GCUGGGUGUGGUGGGGCACACCUGUAGUCUAGCCACUCGGGAGGCUGAGGCAGGAGGAUCGCUUGAGCCCAGGAGUUCUGGGCUGUAGUGUGCUAUGCCAAUCAGGUGUUCAUACUAAGUUCAGCAUCAACAUGGUGGCCUCCUGGGAGCAGGGGACCACCAGGUUGACUAAGGAGGGGUGAACCAGCCUCUGCUGGAAACAGAGGUCAAAACUCCCGUGCUGAUUAGUAGUGGGAUCGUGCCUGUGAAGAGCCACUGAACUCUAGCCUGAGCAACACAAUGAGACCCCAUCUCUA
ensembl:misc_RNA Metazoa_SRP Metazoan signal recognition particle RNA